GCCGGGAUGGCGGAAUCGGUAGACGCAGAGGACUUAAAAUCCUCCGGCUUUCAGCUGUCCGGGUUCGAGCCCCGGUCCCGGCACCA
rnacentral:tRNA from 1 species